AAUAAAUUCAGAAGUUAGCCAAAAUCUUUGUUCGCUUUUUGUUUUGCCCCUCUGAGCAUCUCAGUUUGCUUUGCAGAGAAAGCUGUGUGAAGAUGGACGGAACCCAAGCUCGAGCUAGCGUGCCGUCAUACCUGGUCUGGUCCAUUUUCAACCUUUUGUGUUGCUGCUUUCCACUCGGUGUGGCUGCUGUGGUUUGCUCAUGCAGGAGCGAGAAUGCCAGCGGAGUUGGAGACAUGGCGAGAGCGCAAGAAGCAUCUCGAACCGCCAAGAUUCUCAACAUUGUUGGACUUGUGUGUGGGAUCAUUUUAAUCAUCAUCAUUAUUGUAGUGCAGUUCGUCGGGGCCAAACAUUAAACCCGCCGCUGAUCCACGUUCAACAAGACGGACUGGCUUUGGCAAACCCCUUUCCAUGACGAACUCCCCCGCUUUUACCUCUUAUGUACACCGCGUAAUCACGAAUCCUGUAUCUAAUGUGGGAUGGGAAUAAAAGGGGACCAUUUGUUUUGUAUAGCUUAUUGUGUUUUGUCUGCGUGAUUUCUAAACGAUUGCCUAUUUUUUUAAACCACAUGUCUUUAAUAACACAUGUCGUUUUAAAUAAACGAGUUAUGUGCUGUAAAAACAUUAAAGCUUGUCUUUCUUUUUAAAUAAAUAUUAUUUGGUACGUGUUUUAUUAUUAUUAUUAUUAUUAUUAUUAUUAUUAUUAUUUGGAAAGUCUCAAUAUUGAAAAGACAGCGAGCAUUUAACCGAUCUGAACACAGUUCCGAUUGCUGCGGCACAACCUCGCCCUCUUCCAAUGCGUCAUUAUGACGUGCCAUUCUAGAAUGUGAGCGAGAGUCAGUACAUUUCGUUCUUAUAACUUUCAGAAUUACCUUCUCACGACAGUAAUAAUUAAUUAUUAACUACAACAUUCUUUCACCAUAAAACAAAAAGGUUGCUUCAUAGGCCCACCUUUGGAGACCACAUGUAAGUUUAUAAUAGUAUCUAACAGUCUUGUGUUUGUACAAGCAAUUACUAUUAUUAUAUUACAGUCAGUACCAAUCCAGUAUCUUGGGACUCGUUUCUAUAUACCAAUACUUGUAGUGUCGCUAGUAAGACAUCAGAUUAUUAUUAUUAUUAUUAUUUAUUUCUUAGCAGACGCCCUUAUCCAGGGCGACUUACAAUUGUUACAACAUAUCACAUUAUACAUUAUUUCACAUUAUACAGAUAUCACAUUAUUUUUACAUACAAUUACCCAUUUAUACAGUUGGGUUUUUACUGGAGCAAUCUAGGUAAAGUACCUUGCUCAAGGGUACAACAGCAGUGUCCCCCACUGGGGAUUGAACCCACAACCCUCCGGUCAAGAGUCCAGAGCCUUAACCACUACUCCACACUGCUGCCCAGUUUCAGAAUGUAAACAGCGUUUUUAUAUAACGUUGCGCACACUACUUGAUUGUAUUAGGCUACCUGUCGUAUUCCACCGACACCUACUUACCUGGCUAUAAAUACGACAGAUGGAUCACAGCCAUUUCACUCAGUAACCCUGAGAAACAUGGCUGCGCUACUUUAUGCUGUGUAUUUAAGACAGAGGGCAUCGGAAGAUCGUGCGGAGCAUGUUUGACGUGGUUUCUGAUCAAGACAUCACAGCGAAGCGCCGCUUGCAGAGAUGUGUGGGGUAUGUGACGGUGCCCUCCGAUCGCUAUUCCACGACCCUCUCUUCUGCUGAUGAGAGCUUGUACAGUGGAGAGCAGGGGGGGGGCAAGCUAUGUUAUGUCUCAUGUUAUGUCCCGCUAGAAGCACUUCUUUCAAUUAUAGUUUCAGUUCCAAUCAAAAAAGAGGUCCAUUUAAAUGACACGGAAUGCACCGUUCCUCAAUUUGAAAAUUGGAACUUCUCAUUUGUAUUAAACCCCCAGGGCAAACAUGACCACAACACAUUAUCGCUUGAUCUUCCCUUUUCUCACUGCGGUUAUUAAAGGCUAUAUUUUGGAAACCACGUGUGCGGUUGUGACACACAUAUUUUACAUAUUGUGGGACACCUGUAGUGUGUGACUGGACACACUAGAGAUGACUCGGUAUAGUACGUUUCAUUGACACACACAAAUACACGUUCUGUUGUGAAACGUGGAAUGUAUCGUAAUAGGUAACAGUUAAAUACAAUAACGCGUAUUAAAAAAAAACAUGUCAUUCAUUAGAGUUUACAAUACAUAAAACACAUAUAUAAAACGCACAACACCGCCAUGCAGUGCUGUAUGCUGGAUUGAGGUACAGCAUACCAGAACAUUUGUAUUCUGUAUUUUUUUAACUAACGUACAUGCGAACUUCCCAAUGUUAUGCUUUUAUGUCUCCAGUGAUGUUAUAAAAGAGUGCAAAUCCGUGGUAUGACUGACUGGUGACGUGACUUAUUUAACAACAGUGUGAUAAUGACAAGAGUGAAUGACACACCAGGGCAGAGGGUGGCACUAUCAGGCGUGACAAACACGUUUCAAGGGUUUGUGUGCGUGCCUGCGUGCGUGUGCGUUUUUAUUAACUUGCUACAAUAAAUAAAUAAAUAAAUAAAUAAAUAUGGAAAGUUUUACUGAUUGGAUUCUGUCUAACUCUCCAUCACAUACUCAGACAGCCCACUUAAAAAAAAAAGGUUGUUCCAUUACCCUGAAAGCAAAGGCAUAAUAUUAUUUUGGCUCAGAUCUCAUAAAAGUGGCAGAAUAGUACAGAUCGCAUUUGAUGAUGGAGGAAGUGAAAGAGAGAACCCCACCUGCAGAAACCUACCUGCUCUGGUCAAUAAUAAAUCUCCUGUGUUGCUGUUUCCCUCUUGGAGUCGUCGCUGUCAUAUAUUCCAUUAGGGUGGAGAACGCUGUCUCAGUUGGAGAUAUGUCACGAGCGGUGGAAGCAUCUCAAACAGCCAAGAUCUUAAACAUUGUUGGAGUGGUUACCGGAGCGCUAGCAUUGAUGCUGAUCUUUGUUAUGUAUGCCGUUGUGAUUACCCGCCUCAAUCAGUGAUUCAUACAAACCAGGAAUUGGAUCUCUACUUGUGCGUACCUGUCUUGGUGUUAACUUUCUGCAUGCAGUAAAUACCGCGCUGUUUCCUUGCGACGCUUCUUCCCUUUCGGCUUUGCUGAAGAGCACACACCUUUCCACACUUUUUUUAUUGUCAACAUUAUCAGUGUUAAACAUCGCUUUGGUGAGAGCUGCUUUCGAAGUGUUUCCAAGCUUGAGUGCUGUGCAAGUCCCGUCAUGAAGUGGACUGGGGGAAGGGAACUUUUGGAAUUUGUGGACGAUUGCGCUCAAUAGAGUAACACUGUGAGCAAAAGCCAGUGGUUUGAAAACACCCUCUCAGUCGCUCAUGGGCCUCUUUCAAGCAGGAAUGCACCACAUUGUGUGUGCGUGUGUGCUUGUGCGUGUGUGGGGGGCUGUUUGGACGGAUUCCAUGUUGCCAUUUGAUAUUGAGUCUGAGUUCAGUCAUCUGCUAGUUUCCAUGUAGCAGAUUGAAAACAGCCCAGUUUAAAGUUAGAAUGGAGGGCUGGCAGAACUUACAGCAUGAUUUUCAAAAGGGGCAAAAUAAGAACUAGGUUGCACAGUGAUUUCUAAAAGCUGAUUUGGGUCACUAAGUAUGUGGCUUUCAAAGGGUUUCGAUGAAACAAGUCUUGUAUUCACCUGUUGAUGCUUUGAAAAUACAACUCAAGCGACGUGGUUACAUUAAAUCACGCUUUUAAAAACAUUUCGCGACCUAGUUCUUAUUUUGCCCCUUUUAAAAAUCAUGUUGUUAGUCCCUCCAUUUUGCACUAAUGUUUGAAGUCACCUGAUCUAAUGCAGAGGAUGCAAGAGAUUGUUCUAACUGGGGCCUCCAGAGUUUAAAAGGAAUUAGCUACACCCCCUCCACCAACACAGAGAAAACUAUAAAUCAGCUACAGCUAUAGAGACAAUCUUCUUACAAUAAGCUUAUCUCAUAUUGGUAUUGUUUUUUAUAUUUUGUUUGGUAAUUUCUCAAAUCAGCUGCUCAAGAAAACAGGUUACAUUUUAAUAUCCACUGCAUAUAGUGUUAUUUUAAAACAAAAAUUGCUAAGUAGCACAGUUGAGUUUUGCGAUAGGAAAAUGGACUACCGUACACUACAGCAAGUUGUUCCAAUCUUUGUUGGAAGUUUGAAUGUUUAAUUUGACAUUUCCUGCUCGAGCUCAACAUUUUGGUGGUAUAUUUUGCCGCAUUCAAUUUGCUUAAUAACUUAUGGGCUCUAUAAGGAACUGUUAAUUGUGUUGUAUUUAUUUAUGUAAGUGUGUAAUUGUUUGAUGUUUGUAAUGUAUAACAGAUUUUAUUGGAUGAAUGUUUUGUAAUUUAUUAAACUGUGUCAUGCUUU